rnacentral:lncRNA from 1 species
AGGUGGGUCUUUCUGGGGCCGAACUACGAAAGUGGGUCAGCCAAAAGGAAAAAAGAAGAGAAAGAGCUAAGGAUGAAAGAGAGAUGAAAAAACAACAGCUGAAAGCAGAGAUUGAAAGAGAGAAGUUGGCGGUUGAGAGGGCCAACAGAGAGAGAAGCGGAACUUGAAAAAGAGAGGCUAGCAGCUGAGAGGGAGAAAGAAGAAAGAGAGGCGCAAGAGUGACAGAUG